AGAAGAAAAACAGCGGAAUCUGACUAAGACCAAUAUUGUCUAAAUGAACUGAGAGACAUUCGAACAGAUCGUAAAGAAGGCCGGAAGGGUGACAUGGGACUAGGCAAGAUCCGCCCGAUCGUAACGUGGAUGCUGCAAAAGAAUUCGCCCAACAUUGAAUCUGGAUUGGCCACGGGGGUCUGAGUCAACGCUGUCAAGAUCAAGAGAUCGGCAUUUCUAAGGGCAACUUGAUCCAUCGGCCUGUAUAUGGAAAAAAUGGUAUAAAAUUAAUUUGUUAAAAAAGUAACACUAAUUAAGCUUAUAGAACCUUGGGUGGGUCGUGAGAGUAGAUGAAGCGCUCACGUACGCAAUCUUCUCAUAGCCGGAAUGAAUGAUCCAAUUGCAACUACCAAGGGAAUAUCCAGAACUGACGGCCAUCACAGUUAAAGCACCACAGAUAUCCUAAAAGUUGUCGGUUAAUAUUGUUUCAUAAGAAUUUUUUAAAAAUCCGAAAAAGGACGUACAAUUUUUUCGUUGAAGCCAACCAUGCGAACUUUUGCCAGGGCUGCAUUGAUGGCUUUUGUGGAAUAGACUUUCUUCCAAUCAUUUGGUCUCAGAGCCCCACUGAGAGGAGGAGGAAGAGACUG